rfam:Phytophthora infestans T30-4 supercont1.26 genomic scaffold, whole genome shotgun sequence.
GCCUAUAUAGCUCAGUGGUAGAGCUAAGUAAGCGGAAGGUCGGUAGUUCAAUCCUGCCUGGGGGCA